rnacentral:rRNA from 1 species
AGUCGAGCGAGCUUGCCUAGAUGAAUUUGGUGCUUGCACCAGAUGAAACUAGAUACAAGCGAGCGGCGGACGGGUGAGUAACACGUGGGUAACCUGCCCAAGAGACUGGGAUAACACCUGGAAACAGAUGCUAAUACCGGAUAACAACACUAGACGCAUGUCUAGAGUUUAAAAGAUGGUUCUGCUAUCACUCUUGGAUGGACCUGCGGUGCAUUAGCUAGUUGGUAAGGUAACGGCUUACCAAGGCAAUGAUGCAUAGCCGAGUUGAGAGACUGAUCGGCCACAUUGGGACUGAGACACGGCCCAAACUCCUACGGGAGGCAGCAGUAGGGAAUCUUCCACAAUGGACGCAAGUCUGAUGGAGCAACGCCGCGUGAGUGAAGAAGGGUUUCGGCUCGUAAAGCUCUGUUGGUAGUGAAGAAAGAUAGAGGUAGUAACUGGCCUUUAUUUGACGGUAAUUACUUAGAAAGUCACGGCUAACUACGUGCCAGCAGCCGCGGUAAUACGUAGGUGGCAAGCGUUGUCCGGAUUUAUUGGGCGUAAAGCGAGUGCAGGCGGUUCAAUAAGUCUGAUGUGAAAGCCUUCGGCUCAACCGGAGAAUUGCAUCAGAAACUGUUGAACUUGAGUGCAGAAGAGGAGAGUGGAACUCCAUGUGUAGCGGUGGAAUGCGUAGAUAUAUGGAAGAACACCAGUGGCGAAGGCGGCUCUCUGGUCUGCAACUGACGCUGAGGCUCGAAAGCAUGGGUAGCGAACAGGAUUAGAUACCCUGGUAGUCCCUGCCGUAAACGAUGAGUGCUAAGUGUUGGGAGGUUUCCGCCUCUCAGUGCUGCAGCUAACGCAU